GUACCGCCGAAGUCGUGUCAUUGCGAUAUGUACCCCCAACGGGGAUCGUGAUGGGUAGGGGAGCGUCGUCUGCCGGGUGAAGCAGCCGCGUAAGCGAGUUGUGGACGGUUGACGAGUGAGAAUGCAGGCAUGAGUAGCGAUACAAACGUGAGAAACGUUUGCGCCGAUUGACCAAGGGUUCCUGGGUCAAGCUGAUCUGCCCAGGGUAAGUCGGGACCUAAGGCGAGGCCGACAGGCGUAGUCGAUGGAUAACCGGUUGAUAUUCCGGUACCCGCUGUGAAGCGUCAAACAUCGAACCAGGCGAUGCUAAGUCCGUGAAGCCGCCCCGGAGCCUUCGGGCAAAGGGGAGUGGUGGAGCCG
rnacentral:rRNA from 1 species